GACGAACGCUGGCGGCGUGCUUAACACAUGCAAGUCGAACGGUGAAGCGCCUUCCUUUUUGGUGGGUGUGGAUGAGUGGCGAACGGGUGAGUAACACGUGAGUAACCUGCCCCCUUCUUCUGGAGAACCGCAUGAAAGUGUGGCUAAUACGGGAUAUUCUGGGUCUGUCGCAUGAUGGGUCUGGGAAAGAUAUUGUUUCGGAGGGGGAUGGGCUCGCGGCCUAUCAGCUUGUUGGUGGGGUGAUGGCCUACCAAGGCGGUGACGGGUAGCCGGCCUGAGAGGGUGGCCGGUCACACUGGGACUGAGACACGGCCCAGACUCCUACGGGAGGCAGCAGUGGGGAAUAUUGCACAAUGGGCGCAAGCCUGAUGCAGCGACGCCGCGUGCGGGAUGGAGGCCUUCGGGUUGUGAACCUCUUUCGCCAGUGAAGCAGGCCUGCCUCGUUUGUGGGUGGGUUGACGGUAGCUGGAGAAGAAGCGCCGGCUAACUACGUG
rnacentral:rRNA from 1 species